GGGAAGGUGGCAGAGUGGUUGAAUGCACCGGUUUUGAAAACCGACGUAGUGAGAAUUACCGGGGGUUCGAAUCCCUCCCUUUCCG
rnacentral:tRNA from 1 species